rnacentral:rRNA from 1 species
GACGAACGCUGGCGGCGUGCUUAACACAUGCAAGUCGAACGGAAAGGCCCUGCUUUUGUGGGGUGCUCGAGUGGCGAACGGGUGAGUAACACGUGAGUAACCUGCCCUUGACUUUGGGAUAACUUCAGGAAACUGGGGCUAAUACCGGAUAGGAGCUCCUGCUGCAUGGUGGGGGUUGGAAAGUUUCGGCGGUUGGGGAUGGACGCGCGGCUUAUCAGCUUGUUGGUGGGGUAGUGGCUUACCAAGGCUUUGACGGGUAGCCGGCCUGAGAGGGUGACCGGCCACAUUGGGACUGCGAUACGGCCCAGACUCCUACGGGAGGCAGCAGUGGGGAAUCUUGCACAAUGGGCGGACGCCUGAUGCAGCAACGCCGCGUGCGGGAUGACGGCCUUCGGGUUGUAAACCGCUUUCGCCUGUGACGAAGCGUGAGUGACGGUAAUGGGUAAAGAAGCACCGGCUAACUACGUG